CACGAACGCGCAGGGGAUUACAGGAAAGUUUGAGUUGUGCGGAUACACGUCAGUUUUUUUUUGUUCGUUGUUGGUUUACUAAAGAUAGUUUGCUUUAUCGACUGUAUUUUUGUACUUGUUGUUAUUUUUGUAAGGAGAAAAGUGGUGUGCCUGAAGGUGACCAGCAAGCAAAUAUUUCUCAGCAGAUCCAGCUAGCUAAUCUACUUCCUCAGAGGAAGGUGCAUUGAGGGCUACAGCGAUAUUACAAUGAGGGUAUUUGAUUAAGCAGGCCGGGUUGGCGGAAAUUGCAACGGAUGAAAAGAAACUGAUGUCAUUGCUUUGUACGGGACACCCCAGCAGGUCCUCCAGCAGACGCUGCCCCUUCUGUCUUCCAGAUGCUGCUGCCCACCAUCAGACAAGUUAGAAAGCAAGGGCUGGAGGGGCACCAAAAU
rnacentral:lncRNA from 1 species